rnacentral:tRNA from 1 species
UGGCGGAUAGUUCAGAUGGAUAGAACGCCUAAACAUCCUUAUUCAUCCCUUGCCUGAAAAGGACGAAGAAUUAGGGUUAUCGCUUUCCACGCGGGAUGUCGCAGGUUCGAGUCCUGCUCCGCCAC